rnacentral:SRP_RNA from 1 species
GGGUAAGUCUUGUACGACUGGCUCCCACCUAUCCCCCCAGGGUCGGAAGGCAGCAAGGGUACGAGUGGUUGAGCGGUGCGAUGCAAUACGCUUGCCCCUU